rnacentral:rRNA from 1 species
UACGUAGGGUACGAGCGUUGUCCGGAAUUAUUGGGCGUAAAGAGCUCGUAGGCGGUCUGUCGCGUCGAUCGUGAAAACUUGGGGCUUAACCCUGAGCUUGCGGUCGAUACGGGCAGACUAGAGGUAGGUAGGGGAGAAUGGAAUUCCCGGUGUAGCGGUGAAAUGCGCAGAUAUCGGGAGGAACACCGGUGGCGAAGGCGGAUCUCUGGGCCAUUACUGACGCUGAGGAGCGAAAGCGUGGGGAGCGAACAGG